GUCUUCAAUUCCUUAUCAUUGGGAGUAUUCCGAGCUCAGAAUUUUCCCAAUGCAAAAAAAAGGCUCUGAAGAGCCGGACCUGGGAACCUGGCCAGUUCCCUGAUCCAGUUUUUGGUAAACACCUCGAGGAUGUUAGUUACAUGAUGAAGACAUGGACAGUGUCCUGACUUGACCCUUCUUUGUUUUAAAAAGUAUAAAAGAUUGUUUAGCAGAAGCCGAACUGAGCCUUGAUGGUGAUUUGGUUUGGACUUGCGAAAACCCGUGCUGCUUUACUGCCGGUGUUGAAGUUUGUGAGCGUCUCUAGACGCUCACGUGCCUACUGAUUCUAUUGAACGUAUUUACAAUAAGAAGACUGACCAAUUAACUCAAAUUAGCUCUAAUACUUACCCUGAAGAUCAUCCCAAGUGCGCAAAAUGGGUGCACGAACACACUGGACAUGCAGGAGCCAAAGCUAUGUACAGGUGGGCGCAACAGAGAGGCAUAUACCUGCCAUUAGAUGUAUGUAAAACCAUCACAACACAGUGUCCAGUUUGUAACCAAGAAUGGUUGCAAAAUGUCCCCCGUAUCGUCACAGGAGAAUUAGCUCGAGGAAAACAAGCAGCACAAAUUUGGCAAAUAGAUUACAUAGGGCCGCUCCCCAUUUCUAAAGGGUGCACUUACAUAUGCACUGUUGUAGAUACUUAUUCUGGUGUGCUUAUUGGAUGUCCCUAUAAACGGGCCACCCAACAAAAUACUCUGAAAACCUUAGAUUUUAUUAUUUUAUAUUAUGGAGUGCCAUUACAAAUACAAAGUGACAACGGAUCUCAUUUUAAAGGUAAGUUAAUUACUGAUUACUGUGCUCAAUAUAAUAUAGAAUGGAUUUAUCAUAUACCACCCACAAGCAGCAGGCCUCAUUGAAAAGAUGAAUGAGUUAUUAAAGGAAAAACUACAGAAAUUAACCAAUCCAAUGUAUUCAGGAUGGAAAACCUUUUUAUUACCAGCCUUACAACAACUUAAUAAUAGACCCCUAAACAGUGGCGAAACCCCAUUGCAACGGAUGAUAUAUUCCUCUAAUACAGUUGAGAUCAGAUCCCAAGUAACACAUGAGCCUGUAACUAUCUCCUGGUGGAGAUUCCACCCAGAUGCAAUACAACCUGGGAAUGCUACUAGUACUGCUGCAGGUUAUGAUUUAUUUAACUACUCUGUAACCAAAUUAAAUAGCAAGACUCAACAUGUAAUACCCACUGGAAUAGGUUUACAGUUACCUUCAGGAUAUUAUGGACAAAUAGCUGCUCGAUCUAGUCUAGCACAAAAAGGAAUGACAAUCUUAGGGGGAAUAAUUCAUUCAGAUAAUUACGGUGAAAUCAAAGUGCUUUGUUAUAACCUUGGUGAAGAAGAUAUCAUCUUACCUAAAGGCCACCGAAUAGCACAACUAUUAAUAAUUCCAGUUUUACAAAACACAGUAUGGGAAUCACAAAGGUUCCCUCCAAAAUCAGCUCAUUUAGGAUUUGGCAGUACUGAUGAAAAGAAACAAAUAUCAGGUCAUGUUUGGGUACAAACAUCUCCCCAUAAACCAUUACAAGCUGGAGAGAUAGUAGCACAAGGAAGAAAUAACUGUGUAUAUGUCCUAAUUCCCCCCGCUGAUACUCCUAUAUUAGUACCUACUGAUCAUUUGUUUCAUCGUGUAUAGAUUUGUGUACUCACAGGUAUUAUCCUUAGCACUCACAUCUGGAUUGCUUGGCCCAUUUCCCCCGGACAAAUCGUGUCUCACCAAACUACUUCCAGCAAUGGACACAUGAUUCUACAGUAGGGAUGGGUCAACUCCACAAAAGUAAGAAGCCAAGACUCUUACAACUGUUCUGCUAAUCAAGUUUGUCACCAUACCAAUCUUACUAUUAGUGGAGAUACCAACACUACACUUACCUAUUGGAUGGGACAGAAACCUGCUCGAGGCAUAAUUUAUAGUAAUGAUAGUAUUACUAUUAAUGUCACUUCUAAAGUGAAUAUUUCCUGUUGUAAACAAGAUUUAACUACUAUGCUAUGUCCCUAUCAUGUGCUGCCAAUUCCAUACCCUUAUUAUUAUUUGCAACCAGAAUUUUGUGGUACCCACAUUGACAAUAGAAAUAUAACAUAUAAAAUCAAUGAUUGUGCUGUAACUACAAAAGGAUUAGUAUGCACUGAUCUACAACAACAGAUGGAGCCAUGUCUAUUGCAUUUUUCUGUUAAUCACUGUAUUUUUACCUUAUUACCAGUAAGUGAUUACACUGUCCUUUUUGAAGUCCAGCCUCAUACAUUAUGUAUUGUAUCCAAUCAAUCUGAAGUAUUGUCAUAUAUGCAAGUUGAUUUUCCAUUUGUUGGAUGUAUUUAUAAUAUCUCUAUUUUUCCCUGGCAUAAUUCUACUAUUUAUUUAACCCCAAUUAUUGACUAUGAAAAUGUCACUUUCAACCCAAUAAGCCUGCCCCAACCAAAGUUGGAAACCUAUUUAAAUCUAACUACUAUAUUAUAUGAAAAUAAAGCUUUAAAUCAGACAUUACAGAAAAGAGAUCGACAAUUAAGUGAAUAUAGACUACAAACCACCAUAGUAAGUCAUAAACUGCAGGACUAUUCCCACGCUAUAGCAACAGAUAGUAAUCAUCACUGGUGGGAUUGGUUAUUCACACACUCAUCAGUGACAUAUAGAUUCGUCCCACUAUUCAUGAUAGUAUUCAUUUUAAUAGUUAUUAGUAUAUGUAGUUGUUGCUGUUCUUUGUACUUAUAUCAACGCAUUAAGAAUUUAUAUGAUGCAUUUACUUACAACUAUUAUGUGUAUAAUAAGUCUGCCCAUGCCUAGGGCUGAAUUGUAAUGGAACAGAAGGAGUUAAUUAAGUUUACAAGUCAUGGACAGACUUUAUGUUGUCUUCAAUUCCUUAUCAUUGGGAGUAUUCCGAGCUCAGAAUUUUCCCAAUGCAAAAAUAAGGCUCUGAAGAGCCGGACCUGGGAACCUGGCCAGUUCCCUGAUCCAAUUUUUGGUAAACACCUCAAGGAUGUUAGUUACAUGAUGAAGACAUGGACAGUGUCCUGACUUGACCCUUCUUUGUUUUAAAAAGUAUAAAAGAUUGUUUAGCAGAAGCCGAACUGAGCUUCGAUGGUGAUUUGGUUUGGACUUGCGAAAACCCGUGCUGCUUUACUGCCGGUGUUGAAGUUUGUGAGCGUCUCUAGGUAUCCUUGUAAAUAAACUCUUUCUCUUUCUUUGUAAAUAAACUCUUUUUCUCUAUAUA